AUCCACAUGACGAGUUCCAAAAUAAGACGAAAUGCGCAUCCUAGAU
rnacentral:hammerhead_ribozyme from 1 species